CAACUUUCAACAACGGAUCUCUUGGCUCUUGCAUCGAUGAAGAACGCAGUGAAAUGCGAUAGGUAAUGUGAAUUGCAGAAUUCCGUGAAUCAUCAAAUCUUUGAACGCAAAUUGCACUCCUUGGUAUUCCGAGGAGUAUGCUUGCUUGAGGGUCG
rnacentral:rRNA from 1 species